rnacentral:rRNA from 1 species
CACGUAGGGAGCAAGCGUUGUCCGGAUUUAUUGGGCGUAAAGAGCUCGUAGGCUGUUCGAUAAGUCGGGUGUGAAACCUCCAGGCUCAACCUGGAGACGCCACCCGAUACUGUCAUGACUAGAGUCCGGUAGGGGAGCGUGGAAUUCCUGGUGUAGCGGUGAAAUGCGCAGAUAUCAGGAGGAACACCAGCGGCGAAGGCGGCGCUCUGGGCCGGUACUGACGCUGAGGAGCGAAAGCGUGGGGAGCGAACAGG